GCCUCACCCGUUUGCCAACUAAAAUAGCUGAGCGUAAGAACUCCAGGACCAUCGAUGCUUGUCCGUCUUUGUCAUGUUCUAUGCAAGUCCAACAUGUAUCAGCAAACCAUUUCAUCGAUACUUUGUCAUAAGAAUGUCCUCGGUCAGUAUGUUCACCAACAGACCAUCUUGACAUAUCAUGUGUUCCAUCGGUUGACCAUAGAUUAAACCACCAAUACGCAUUCUGCUGGAAUUCUAUAUGAUUUCCGACAAUUGACUGACUUACUUGCCACAAAUGUGUUCCAGCUACUUUCGUUUCAGCUUUAUUAUAUGCUAUAUUUGAAAAUUCAAGAGCCGCUCGUUUACCAUUUACAUUGUAACGUGAAUUUCUGCUCCGUUAGCAACAGCUCUU
rnacentral:lncRNA from 1 species